UGUAUACCUCUUCCCGAGGUAGCUCCAGUGCAAAUGUGGCCUCAUGUUGCCCUGGGCCUAGCUUCACCUUGGAGGGACUGAGUUCCCCCAGUCUGGCUGAGUCCCCUGCCCAUCCUCCAGCCCUUCGGUCUCUCCUGGAGUCUUCCCAGGCCUCUGCCAGCCUGCACUGUUCAAUCCAAAAGCUUAAGCAAGAGACUGCUGCAAUGGGGAUAUUGGGCUCCCUGCCUUUGGAGUCCAGGUCUUCUCCCGUCACGUGCAGGUUCUGCUCUGCUCCUGAUGUCUCUCCAUCUGCCAUCCAGGGUGCAGAAGAGUAUCGUGCCAGGGGAAAGACUAGGGCUGCUCAAGCUAGGAUGAAAUGGGGCAGCCCAUUUGCUAAGGCCUGGGGUCUCGGUUCAGUAACAAGUGAGACUGAGCCGACCUCCAUCUAUCACAGGUACAGAACCACAGAGUUAUACACCCAGAGAGCCAGCGUCUCUGAAGGAAUUUGGUCAGGGCCCCUCUCCGCUGAGGCUGGCCCAGUUGGUCUGGUUGAUACUGAAGCAGGCAGUCCCUAUGACUGCUCUCCCUACCUCGGCUACAGGUCACAGGCAUGUGGCCAUGCAACCACUCACUUCCCUGAGGAACCCUCAUUCAGAUCUCCCCCCUGCUCUGUGUCUCAGAGAGAGGACCUGCCACCCAGCCGAUACCCAGGUGGUCUGCAGGUGUCACUGGAGACACAGCACAGCGGAGCUCAGAUGAACAUUGGUGUAGCCAUAGAUGGGACCCCGAGGAAAGCGUGUGUGAGAGUCACUUCUCCUCCUGCAGAAACAGGGGCUGCUCCAGUCCAGCAGCUUUGCAUUCACUCUAGCUGUGAGGGAGCCUCUGUCCCUCACUGCAAAUACCACAGGGAGCCAGCAGAGCUUUAUGAUGCUGCAUUGGCUGCAGGCAAGAGACCAACUGUGGUGAAUAGGAGGCCGCCUGCAGCCAGGUCCAGCCCUAGCCCUCUCAGUGUAACAGUCAGACGAGGCUCUAACGAAUAUUCCUGGGCUGCCCGUGAUGUUGAUGGUCCGGACACUGCCAGAGAGGGAGGAAGGAGAGAGCUCUCUAUCAAGGCUGUCUGUACACCUCCUGCUGAGAAGAGCACUGGGGAUCUGCCACCCCAUGAAGUCAACUGCCAGGUGCAGCAUGUUGCACCAGCCUGGGUAAGGAGAUGUUUGGCAGGCAGCCCUGCUCCCCCCACCCUAUGCCCUGGAGGGGGCUGGUCCCCACUUUGCCCCCA
rnacentral:lncRNA from 1 species